GAUGAACGCUGACAGAAUGCUUAACACAUGCAAGUCUUUGGCGAAGCUGUGCUUGCACAGCCUAGCCAAGGCGGACGGGUGAGUAACGCGUAAGGAACUUGCCCUGCAGUCAGGGAUAACAGACGGAAACGACUGAUAAGACCUGGUAAAGUCAGGCGGACUCAUGUCCAGCCUGAUGAAAAGAGAUGCUGCAGGAGAGCCUUGCGUCCUAUUAGCUUGUUGGUGGGGUAACGGCCCACCAAGGCGAUGAUAGGUAGCCGGCCUGAGAGGGUGGACGGCCACAAGGGGACUGAGAUACGGCCCUUACUCCUACGGGAGGCAGCAGUGGGGAAUAUUGGACAAUGGGGGCAACCCUGAUCCAGCAAUUCUGUGUGCACGAUGAAGGUUUUCGGAUUGUAAAGUGCUUUCAGCAGGGAGGAAAAAAAUGACGGUACCUGCAGAAGAAGCGACGGCUAAAUACGU
rnacentral:rRNA from 1 species